AUUGAACGCUGGCGGCAUGCCUUACACAUGCAAGUCGAACGGCAGCACGGGGCAACCUGGUGGCGAGUGGCGAACGGGUGAGUAAUGCAUCGGAACGUACCUUUCAGUGGGGGAUAACGUAGCGAAAGUUACGCUAAUACCGCAUAUUCUGUGAGCAGGAAAGCAGGGGAUCGCAAGACCUUGCGCUGAUUGAGCGGCCGAUGUCAGAUUAGCUAGUUGGUGAGGUAAAGGCUCACCAAGGCGACGAUCUGUAGCGGGUCUGAGAGGAUGAUCCGCCACACUGGAACUGAGACGCGGUCCAGACUCCUACGGGAGGCAGCAGUGGGGAAUUUUGGACAAUGGGAGCAACCCUGAUCCAGCCAUGCCGCGUGAGUGAAGAAGGCCUUCGGGUUGUAAAGCUCUUUCGGCCGGGAAGAAAUCGCACGGGCUAAUACCCUGUGUGGAUGACGGUACCGGAAUAAGAAGCACCGGCUAACUACGUGCCAGCCGCCGCAGUAA
rnacentral:rRNA from 1 species